rnacentral:rRNA from 1 species
AUUGAACGCUGGCGGCAGGCUUAACACAUGCAAGUCGAGCGGGGGAAGGUAGCUUGCUACCGGACCUAGCGGCGGACGGGUGAGUAAUGCUUAGGAAUCUGCCUAUUAGUGGGGGACAACGUCUCGAAAGGGAUGCUAAUACCGCAUACGUCCUACGGGAGAAAGCAGGGGAUCUUCGGACCUUGCGCUAAUAGAUGAGCCUAAGUCGGAUUAGCUAGUUGGUGGGGUAAAGGCCUACCAAGGCGACGAUCUGUAGCGGGUCUGAGAGGAUGAUCCGCCACACUGGGACCGAGACACGGCCCAGACUCCUACGGGGGGUAGCAGUGGGGAAUAUGGGACAAUGGGGGGAACCCUGAUCCAGCCAUGCCGCGUGUGUGAAGAAGGCCUUAUGGUUGUAAAGCACUUUAAGCGAGGAGGAGGCUACUUUAGUUAAUACCUAGAGAUAGUGGACGUUACUCGCAGAAUAAGCACCGGCUAACUCUGUGCCAGCCGCCGCCGUAA